rnacentral:rRNA from 1 species
AGAGACUUGACGGUACUGUAAGAAUAAGGAUCGGCUAACUCCGUGCCAGCAGCCGCGGUAAUACGGAGGAUCCAAGCGUUAUCCGGAAUCAUUGGGUUUAAAGGGUCCGUAGGCGGUUUAGUAAGUCAGUGGUGAAAGCCCAUCGCUCAACGGUGGAACGGCCAUUGAUACUGCUAGACUUGAAUUAUUAGGAAGUAACUAGAAUAUGUAGUGUAGCGGUGAAAUGCUUAGAGAUUACAUGGAAUACCAAUUGCGAAGGCAGGUUACUACUAAUUGAUUGACGCUGAUGGACGAAAGCGUGGGUAGCGAACAGGAUUAGAUACCCUGGUAGUCCACGCCGUAAACGAUGGAUACUAGCUGUUGGGAGCAAUUUCAGUGGCUAAGCGAAAGUGAUAAGUAUCCCACCUGGGGAGUACGAACGCAAGUUUGAAACUCAAAUGAAUUGACGGGGAAACUCAAGGG